UGCAGCUGUGUCAAAUUCAUUGCCCGCCUUUCCUGUGGCAGGGAGUGGUCCUAGCAGCUGCCACAGCAACAAUCUGCCGUCCAUGGGCUUCAGAACCCUUUGUGGGCUCCGAGGACAGUUUUUCUGCAGACACCG